GAGUCACGAGACCCAGCAACGAUUUCAAAGCCUGUUGCAUCAACAGUGCAAAGGACAAGGAUAACCCACGUGGAACCGCUCCCGACGCAGCACGAGAUACAAAGCACAAUACAACCAACGUUAUCAUCUUCGUCGCGUGUCAACAUCAGUGAGGAUCGUGUGGGCACCUAAUUUAUAUGAUCGUGAUCAUACAUUAGUUUAAUGAGCAUAUAGAUUAAUUUUCUAUGUAACGAGUUGCUUUCAGUCUGCUGCAAGUCCUCAGGAUCGUACGCCAUUAGCAUCAGCAGUGACGUUGCUUGCUCUCUUGUGCAGGGUAAGCGUGCAUGAAACGGAGCGUGGCACUGACCAAAGAACGACCCCCUGGUGAAAGUGAUGCUCUCCAACUCGAGUGGGCUUCUUCUUCGUGCAUGACUUCUCUUAGAGGGAAUGCUCCUCUUGUCCUACGGAUGCUGAAGCCAUGCAGACGUCGCCACCCAUCAUUGUCUGGUUCAUACGCUCAGAUAAGAGUAUAUUGAUGCAACUGAGUAUAAAGCAGCAGCUUCGUGGCAGCACACAAAGCGUGAGAGGUUUCGCAGGCGACGACGACUCAUGCAACAGAGGUGCAUCAUAAGAUUUCCAUGGAGCCAGCCAUUUAUUCCCUCUGACGCAGUCUGCCUUCUUCUCCGGCAUGCGGUGAUGAAUAGCGCAUGCAUGGCACAGCAGAUGCCCAAGCGUCAGAGGUCUUACAUCCCUUCACUGCAAGCUGUUCUAAGUAAAAGGUUUGACCACCAGAACAUAUACCUCGUUUGGAGAUCUCCUAAUGAUUUCAUGCUACGGAAAGGAAACACUAAAGGUUCUCGUUCUCCAUUUCUGUAUCCAAAAUAUACAUGUUCUCCAGUUCUGCACCGCACUGCACGAUGGGGUGAAAAGAAGUACACAGGAAGAAGGAUGGGAGGAGGUCUUCUCUUCUUGUUUCCUUCACCGCAUGGCCAUAUGACGGGGUUCCUUCCACCGGAGAAGGACGUCGCGGGCGAUGUUGAGAGC
rnacentral:lncRNA from 1 species